rnacentral:tRNA from 1 species
GGGGUUGUGACUCAGUGAUACAGCGCUUGCUUAGCAUGCAUGAGGCAUUGGGUUCGAUUCUCAGCACCACA